UGUACGAGUGGCGAACGGGUGAGUAACACGUGAGAAACCUGCCUCGGAGACCGGGACAACCAUUGGAAACGAUGGCUAAUACCGGAUGUCCUCAUUUGAUCGCAUGAUCUUUUGAGGAAAUGAUCCGUCGCUCCGGGAGGGUCUCGCGGCCUAUCAGCUUGUUGGUGAGGUAAUGGCUCACCAAGGCAUCGACGGGUAGCUGGUCUGAGAGGACGAUCAGCCACACUGGGACUGAGACACGGCCCAGACUCCUACGGGAGGCAGCAGUAGGGAAUCUUGCACAAUGGGCGAAAGCCUGAUGCAGCGACGCCGCGUGGGGGAUGAAGGCCUUCGGGUUGUAAACCCCUUUCAGUAGGGACGAAAAUGACGGUACCUACAGAAGAAGCUCCGGCCAACUACGUGCCAGCAGCCGCGGUAACACGUAGGGAGCAAGCGUUGUCCGGAUUUAUUGGGCGUAAAGAGCUCGUAGGCGGUUUGUCGCGUCUGCUGUGAAAAUCCGAGGCUCAACCUCGGACCUACAGUGGGUACGGGCAAACUA
rnacentral:rRNA from 1 species